CGGUCAGCCAUACGGCAGUGAAUCCGUUCCCGGGCCUUGUACACACCACCCAUCACACUAUGGGAGCUGGCCAUGCCCCAAGUCGUUACCUUAAACGCAAGGAGGGGGAUGCCGAAGGCUGGGCUAGUGACUGGAGUGAAUUCGUAACAAGGUAGUUGUACUGGAAGGUGCGGCUGGAUCACCUCCUUU
rnacentral:ncRNA from 1 species